rnacentral:rRNA from 1 species
CAGCCGCCGCGGGAAUACGGAGGGCGCGAGCGUUACCCGGAUUUACUGGGCGUAAAGGGCGUGUAGGCGGCCUGGGGCGUCCCAUGUGAAGGGCCACGGCUCAACCGUGGAGGAGCGUGGGAUACGCUCAGGCUAGAGGGUGGGAGAGGGUGGUGGAAUUCCCGGAGUAGCGGUGAAAUGCGCAGAUACCGGGAGGAACGCCGAUGGCGAAGGCAGCCACCUGGUCCACUUCUGACGCUGAGGCGCGAAAGCGUGGGGAGCAAACCGGAUUAGAUACCCCAGUAGUCCCUGUCUCUUAUAC